rnacentral:rRNA from 1 species
UACAGAGGGUGCGAGCGUUAAUCGGAAUUACUGGGCGUAAAGCGUGCGUAGACGGUUAUUUAAGUCGGGUGUGAAAGCCCCGGGCUCAACCUGGGAAUUGCAUUCGAGACUGAAUAGCUAGGGUACGGUAGAGGGAAGUGGAAUUUCCGGUGUAGCGGUGAAAUGCGUAGAUAUCGGAAGGAACAUCAGUGGUGAAAGCGACUUCCUGGACCAGUACCGACGUUCAGGCACGAAAGCGUGGGGAGCAAACAGG